AUUUGGUGUUGAGGACACUUGAUGCAUAACUUCUUGAAUUGCUCCCAGUAAUUGUAGAGCAACUCUCCUGGAUGCUGUUUGAUACCACAUAUCUCCUUUCUUAGACU